rnacentral:rRNA from 1 species
AGUCAAUAGAUACCCAGGUAGUCCACGCCGUAAACGAUGAGUACUAGGUGUAGGAGGUAUCGACUCCUUCUGUGCCGCAGUUAACACAAUAAGUACUCCGCCUGGGAAGUACGGUCGCAAGAUUAAAACUCAAAGGAAUUGACGGGGGCCCGCACAAGCAGCGGAGCAUGUGGUUUAAUUCGAAGCAACGCGAAGAACCUUACCUAGACUUGACAUCUCCUGAAUAGUGUAGAGAUACAUGAAGCCCUUCGGGGCGAGGAAGACAGGUGGUGCAUGGUUGUCGUCAGCUCGUGUCGUGAGAUGUUGGGUUAAGUCCCGCAACGAGCGCAACCCUUAUUACUAGUUGCUACCAUUAAGUUGAGCACUCUAGUGAGACUGCCCGGGUUAACCGGGA